rnacentral:rRNA from 1 species
GAUGAACGCUGGCGGCGUGCCUAAUACAUGCCAGUCGAGCGAACGGACGAGAAGCUUGCUUCUCUGAUGUUAGCGGCGGACGGGUGAGUAACACGUGGAUAACCUACCUAUAAGACUGGGAUAACUUCGGGAAACCGGAGCUAAUACCGGAUAAUAUUUUGAACCGCAUGGUUCAAAAGUGAAAGACGGUCUUGCUGUCACUUAUAGAUGGAUCCGCGCUGCAUUAGCUAGUUGGUAAGGUAACGGCUUACCAAGGCAACGAUGCAUAGCCGACCUGAGAGGGUGAUCGGCCACACUGGAACUGAGACACGGUCCAGACUCCUACGGGAGGCAGCAGUAGGGAAUCUUCCGCAAUGGGCGAAAGCCUGACGGAGCAACGCCGCGUGAGUGAUGAAGGUCUUCGGAUCGUAAAACUCUGUUAUUAGGGAAGAACAUAUGUGUAAGUAACUGUGCACAUCUCGACGGUACCUAAUCAGAAAGCCACGGCUAACUACGUG